CCAAUAGCGUAUAUUAAAGUUGCUGCAGUUAAAAAGCUCGUAGUUGAAUUUCGGGGUUCUACCGUUGGUCGGGCUAUCCAGUCUGUACUAGCGUGUAGAAUCUCUACCUUCUGGGGAACCAUCAUGUUAUUAAUUUAGCGUGGUGGGAAACCAGGACCUUUACCUUGAAAAAAUUAGAGUGUUCAAAGCAGGCUUACGUCUGAAUACAUUAGCAUGGAAUAAUAAAAUAGGACGGUGGUCCUGUUUUGUUGGUUUCUGAAUCACCGUAAUGAUUAAUAGGGAUAGUUGGGGGCAUUAGUAUUCAAUUGUCAGAGGUGAAAUUCUUGGAUUUAUUGAAGACUAACUUCUGCGAAAGCAUUUGCCAAGGAUGUUUUCAUUAAUCAAGAACGAAAGUUAGGGGAUCGAAGACGAUCAGAUACCGUCGUAGUCUUAACCAUAAACUAUGCCGACUAGGGAUCGGACGAUGUUAAAUUUUAUUGACUCGUUCGGCGCCUUACG
rnacentral:rRNA from 1 species